rnacentral:RNase_P_RNA from 1 species
GAAGUCCGCCAGGCAGCCGCUGUGCGCCUCGUGCGCAUGGAGGAAAGUCCGGGCCCCCCAGAGCAGGAUGCCGGCUAACGGCCGGGCGCAGCAAGUCGAAAGACCCAAGGCGAUGGAAAGUGGAACAGAAAGCAAACCGCCGAUGGCCCGACCCGACUUGUCGCCGUAGGCGACAAAGUCCCUUAAAUAGAGCAAGUGGGCAACCACCGAGACUAAGUUUGGGAUUGGUCGGGGCGGGAUCAGGCAAGGGUGAAACGGUGAGGUAAGAGCUCACCGCAGUCCGUGGCAACACGGCUGGCACGCUAAACCCCAUCCGGGGCAAGGCCAAAUAGGGAAGCAAUAGCGCUGCUCGCGCUGCUUCCGGGUAGGCUGCUAUUGCGCCGCUGAAAAGCGUCGCUAGAGCGUCGCGGCAACGCGUCGCCCAGAGGAAUGGCUGCCGGACAGCUUCGGCUGUCUUACAGAACCCGGCUUAUCGGCGGACUUCCAAC